AAUCCAAGAAUUUCACCUCCAACUGUCAAAUACGAGAACCCCCAACCGCUCCUACCGAUCAUCACCUUCAAUCGACAAGCCAACAAAUCAGAAUCAAGGUCAAACUUGUUAUUCCAUGCUUUGAUAUUCUUAGCGAUGACCACCGUGAAACAAUCUAAUUUCUUCGAAGUACGUGACGGCAGCUUGGUUUCGCAAAAUUAAGUGCAACGCGCGAGCUGUCGAGAGCGCCAAACUACUCCAAGUACUUCCAAAGGAAGUAUUCGAGCUGAACGACAGAUGCUGAACUACGAGCUUUUUAAACGCAACAACUUUAACAUACGCUUUUGGAGCUGGAAUUACCGC
rnacentral:misc_RNA from 1 species